AGCUAAACAACUUCAUUGUAUACACAUAAAACACACAUAGUGCCUGUUCAUUAUUUAGGUUGCACUACCUUUAAAAGGCCGCUGUGGUAUGAAACGGUGUCACAAUACUCAUGUAUACAACAAUCAAAUGUUUACUUAAUUAAGUAAGAAAGCGCUUACACUAAUGUUUUCGUUCAUUGGAACUCAGCCGAAAUACUUUACUUAAAAGCAUUGAGGUUUUAAGGUCCAUGUACCGGUGUUGAAUGUACGUGGAUUAUUUAACAUUGAUGUGAGUCAUAGAUUGGAACAACUAUUUCGAACCUUAAACGGACGUCGAAUGCUGUACAUCAGUCUCCUGUCCCGGCAGUUAGGGUUCACUCUGACCUAUACCGGUUCCAAGCUCGAGCGCACCGAGCAUGGCUUGGAGAAGGAAAUACGCAGGGAAAGCUGCGCCCCACCACGGAAGAAUACGAUUACGAGACUGCGCAAUGACGGGGAGUUAAUCCUGCACAGUAAGGACGUGCUGAUGUUGAUCGUGGUGUUGAAUUUAGUGGAUUGUUGCCUCGUCCUCGGAGAGCUGAUUCUCGAUAUCCACUAUAUAACAGGUUCGAAAAUGUAUUAAACUAUAAAUCCGCCUUGAAACUUAUGUGAUGCAUUUUUUAAGACAUAAAACGUUCGAAAAAAAACUCCAUUAAAUACCUGAAUUUAAUUUUCGCUAUGUACAACCAUCAACAACCAAAAACGUAUGUGUCGUUAUUGUAUAUACCGGCACAUACACGAUGUAGAUGCAUUCAUCUUCCAUAAAAAGUAUAUGGUAGAUUAUUAAAUAUGUACAAUGUUCGGAAAUGUAUUCAUUCGCCGUAAAACUCGCGUGUUGUAUGUGUUACUAUAUACAAUAAUCAAAAAUGAAUUCAUCCGCCUUUUUUUCCUAAAACUAAAGGUGUUUUGAUAUAAACGAUUGAACUCCCAUGACAGUUAUAUUAACGCCGGAUAGACAUUCACUGAUAAACUGAUUAGUUACGAGGAUUUCGUUGCAAUUUUAUUGUGCGAAGCCAUGUUGUGUAUGUUUGCUCGUGCAUGUCCAUAUACAGUGUACGUGUAUCUGUUUGUACCUGCAGGGUCUUGACAACGGGUAUAUUCUACAAUGGGUUCGUUUUGGGAAAAUAGGGUUGAAUUCAUGUGCGUUGAGCUCUGUCCAAGUUCAGCAUUUAAAGGAAGCCUUUGCUUAGCGAAAUUCAAGUUUAAACUUAAAUGGUUCGUGUACUGUUUUCUGCAGUAAUUACAGAACACAUAUUACAUAUCAAGGUUCAAAUCCUUCGCUGGUUAAGUAGGAUCGAUCAGUUUGACACUAAAAUGGUUCCAAACUUCAGAUUGUUUCUUAGAUUUUUUAGGAAAGGGAACAAAUUCUUCUCUGACCGACAUAUUGAAUGAAGUGCCUAUACACAUACGUAUUACGAUCGCUGAUUGGUUUGUUUUAUCCAAUAAAAAAGCUCGUUUCAGCAGGGGUAAACAGAAAUGGUCUAGUAAAAAAAAAAUAUCGAAUGAUCGGUACGGUCAAAAAUUCGUCAACUUUUCGUCGACUCGACUUUUUCAUCGUCAUCGUCACGCCAGCAGCAAUUCGUUGAAGACGCGUCGACCAUCUGAUUAAUCAACUCACCACUAGUAAGCGCUUAUAUUGUAUUAAUAUUCGCUCUAUAGCUCGACUAAACUCGCUGCGAACUUGUUUAGCGGUUCACACAAUUACAGCUUCUGCUAAGAAAAUUCGGAACGAGUAAAGUCGAGAUAAGAGCGAAUAUUAAUACGAAAUAAACGCUUUCUUUCUGUUACGGCUGGAAAGUUAGCGCCAUUUAAACAAUUAAUACAACUUAUUAAGGGUAUACAACGGCGAAAAAUACCUGUCUCGGCAUGGACGUCGCAAUCGUGUUUUUCAAGUGGAUACGGGUACAAAAGUAAUGUAUGCAAUAACAACUUCAAUAACAUAGAAGUGCUGAUCACCCACCGCUGCCACCGCACCCCACAGCCAGCAACAUCGUACAUAAUAUACCGAAGACGGUGUAUGAUACCCGGCACACCCAUGGUGGUUCCCACGGUACAGCGGGUCACUCGGUGUGGGAGGACAUGGCGCACGGCCUUCACAAUGCCAGUAUCACGAUCCUCUGAAUCCUGUUUUUUGAGAGCAUCCUAAAAAAUAUUUGCAUGGGAAAAGAAUUCUUGUCCAAACAAUUGCAGGGAAGUGUUUACGUUUUUCAAUUUAUGUGUAUUUUUAUAGCAUGCAUUGAUGGUGUUUCUGUUUGGCACACGGGGGCAUUAUUCUCGAAAGCGUUCAGUACGUACCAAUGUGCAAUUGCGCUCAGAAACUUAUAUAUUUUAUUAUAAACAAAGGGCAAUAACUCAUUGAAAUACUGCAAUCGCAAAAUCUUGACAAUAUUCAUUGAAGCGCUCGGAGAUAUUUAUUUUUGAACAAAUUUGACAAAAAUUGAAUCUAAAAUUGAUUACAAGUUUCGCGUGGAAGCUUGUAUAUGUACAUUUAAACAACUGGCAAUUACUCCUUAAAACGCAAUCGCAAAAUCUUGACAGUACUUGCUGUAGCUAUUUGAGAUAAUUAUUAUAUAUACAUUUGACAUAAUUAUACGCAAAAUGUAUAAGAAAUUGUGCUUGCUCGCACACACGCACACACGGACGGAACUAUGCCAACCAUUGCUAUAUCCGUAGGUAUUCCGGCGGUAGAUAACAAACAGUAAGCAAGCUUUAAAGAUAUACAUAUGUUGUACAUCGGACAUCUAGCUUCAUUCGGAGAAUAAUGCUAAUCUGCUUAUCUUUUCCGCUUAAAAUAACAAAAUAAUUAAUUAAAACUUGGUGUUAACAGCGAUGACAGAGUAAGCAUUUUUUAAAUUUUACUUGCCGCGGAUUCUGACAUUUCAUUUAUUUUUCAAAAUGAACGAACUCGUGUUCAGGGUGCAAUGACCACAAGGUCUAGUUAAAAACAUGUGUUUACGAUCAUCAUGAAGUACGUUGACUCUGUUACCUUGCUUACCUUGCUUAAAGUGUCGUCCCUGAUUAGCUUGCGCAGUCCUCACAGGCUAAUCAGGGACGACACAUUCCACUCAGACAUAUUUAUCCAUCAGAAGAGAUUUACACAGUACAUGAAAGGUGAAAGUGUCGUCCCUGUUUAACGUGAGCACUCCGCACAGGCUAAUCAGGGACGACACAUUCCACUCAGACAUAUUUAUCCAUCAGUACAUGAAAGCUGAAAGUGUCGUCUCUGAUAAGCAUGUUUGGACUGCAGAGGCCAAGUGAGACGACAUUUAGCGAACAUGCAUUAAGCCCCAUUUUCCCAAACCGCGGCUCAUAUCUGUUUAAUUGCGUUUAGCUGAAUACGAACAAAUCACUGUUCAGUUGUUUAAAUUAGUUGCAUGGAAACCAUUAUUGUUAUGAACAUAUCCUUUUAAGAUCAAGACCGUGUAACUCAUUGGAUUAACACAUACACAGCUUAGUAGCAACAAUAAAACAUUGUUGUUAUUUAUAUUGUUUGGUGCGCGUGAUUUUGUGUAAUGUGUGCGUGUGUCACUUUGCGGUUGUGUGUAAACUGCGUUGUCUGACUAUCCGGUUACUACAGAAGUGUGUACAUGCUGAAGACCGAACCAACUUUAAUAACUUUUCUUGAAAACCCCAAAUGUCCAAAUUAUAGACAUAACUAAAAAUACCUAACUUUCAGUCUAGUUAAGAUCAUGAGGUAUGAUUGCUUGUAAACACUCCGAUGCCCUCACUUAUUGCAGCCUCGGGCAUCCAAAGAUCUAAUGAGUGUUACCACAGUAAGUGAACCCAAAACCUUUUGGCCGUAAGGCGGUUACCAUAUCCAUUACGCCACUGCAACCUAUGUAUGUCCGCUUCCAGGUAGAACACUGGUUCGAUACAAAUAGCGGGAACGUUCGUUAGCUCUUCUACAAAAGCCUUUGGAUCAAAGGAAUUGGAUUGAAGCAAUCGAGCUUAAAUUAAAUAGGUUAAACGUAAAUAUCAAAAGACACAAUCACGGACAUUCUACCGUCCAUUCGACUGCCGUACGCUUGCAGGUCUGACAGUGGCGGUGCGGGAUCACGAACACAUCCGGCUUAAGAUGCUGUACAAGGAGGAGAAGAUGAUUUCAGCGCAACUUGAGAGGCUGGAGGAAACCAAAAAUUGAUGGGACGAAGCAGUCGUCCAUUACCACAAUAACAUCCCGUGCACUAUGAGGCAUGCUUCCGGGAAUCAUCAUGGACCCGGGCGACAAAAAAAAACAACGCAUUUUUUAACAGAAUGCGAAUGAGCAUGCAAAAGAUGACGCAUCGAAGCCAAAAAACGCCACAAUUAACGCUCUCGUUUCGGCCACCGCCGUCUUAAAGCUAAUCAGAAUUUAAGAAAACUUCUGUCCCAGUAAUAAAUCGUGACAUUAUUGACGAAAGCGUCAAAUCCGAUGAUGAAGAUUCGGCAGAUUUGCAGGAAACAGUAACCGGAAGUCGCUCGAAUGUUAGCGGCAACGGCAGUACGUUCUACUAGAAGUCGCGACACUCCAUCCAAUCGGAUCCGGAUCAUGGAGUUCAGAACUCAUAGGAAGGAACAUAGGAAGGUUUGCCUCUCUAAAGCGCUUGUCGUUUGACCACAUGAAGUUCGACCAAUUUUGACUCAUCAGACAUCCGUGUGUUCGUAAUACAGCGACGCGGUCGAGAAUUAAGAAACACAAAAUGACAAUAAUGUAACUGACCCCACAAAUCCGUUAAAAUGUUACAUUGUGUAAACUAAUACAUCGGUGAAUUAUUUAAAUCGGUGCUUAGUGACGUGUCAACGUGAUAUCACGAGUUGUGCUAACAACGUGAUUAAUCUAGGGUCAUACUAUUUUAUGUUCUUGUUUCGGUCUGGAGGCCGUAAUACAAAAACAUUGUACGACACAUUUACUUGACGACGCAUCAACUUUAAAACACAUUUACUGUUCGAUAUAUUUACUUUGCGACACGUUGACUAAAUGACACAUUAUUUUUCGAUACAUUUACUUUACGACACAUUAACUAUAUGACAAAUUUACGUCACUACACAUUUACUUAACGAUACAUUUUAGGGGAAUCAUACAUUCUCUGCCCCAACACAGAUAAGUACAUAUAUGCUUUAUCAUUUUCUUUGACAUUUUCAUAAUGCCCUUCGUUUUGAGAACACAUUGAUGAUAAAUCUGUAUUUGAGACCCGCUCUGUUAAAACGUGGCUUAAUGCGUAAAAUGUCGUGCCACACGAGCCUCUUUGAAUCGCAUAUACUACUCAGGGAGCCGUUUCAUCAACGAUUUACGACUAGUUGUAAAUUACGAUUUACAUAAAUUACGAUGUUUCAAUAAAAUCGCGUUUCAUCAAGCAAAUCGUAAAUUAUAAUUACACAAAUUUCAUACAUAAAUAUACGACUGGGUAAGGGCACUCGUAAAUUAACGUAAUGGCGGUCUUUUUUGUCAUACACGAUGACAGGAGACGAAAAAUUACCAAUGCCAAGGCUUUUUAGGGAGAGAAUUGUUCUCGAAAACCUAAGAGAUGAGAACAUUGCUUCGAUAUAUCGUCUAAGUAAAGGCGGAAUAGAGCGAUUGUUGGUUUUGAUCGAAGAAGACAUAGCACCAACUAGUAUAAUUAUAAAAUUGUAUUUAUUUUCAAAUAGCAAAUAAGUAGAAUUUAACCCAAAAACUUACGAGUAGUUACCCUUUGUUUACUUAGCAUUUGACAACUAGGAUUUUGCAAAAAGGUUGAAAAAUAAGUCAUUGUUGUAUAUUUUCUUAAUAAAAGCAUUCGAUGAUUACCGAUUUUGGCAUAUUGCAUAUUGCCAAGGGAGAUGUUUACUGAGGAUUCCAUGCCAUUAAUGUGCAGGCUGUUGCUGACGCCAGCAUGAGCAAUAUCUGAGCACCAAUGAUGAGGGUCAUCUGCUGGGAGAUAGUGGAUAUCCGUUAAGGACUUACCUGAUGACCCCUUAACCUCAUCCCUCCCAUGCUGCGGAACAGGCCUACAAUGACCAUCUAUGUAGAGGAUAUCUGCAUGCCACUGGUGGAUGUUGGCCUUUCAAGUCCAAUAAGUGCUGUGAAAUAUCAACUGUGUACAUGCCCCUGCAUAACCUGUGUCUGGAUUCAAACAUUCCACUGAUAGAGGAAUUGGUUGGAAACGUGAUGGAACCGGAAGUUAUGAACAACACACCAGUACAUCGAGCAGCAUGUGAUAAGAGGCAGCAGCUGAUCAAACUGUUUCAUAAAAAAUGUCAAAAAAUUUUAGUUAUAAAUGUUAUAAAGUGAUA